UACCAUCUCUUACAGGCAAGGUGCAUGGAGGUAGGCUCAGCUUCGGCGUCUUCCAUUGGACUGCCCCGUUGCUGCCGGUGACGCUGUUUGGCAUCGGCACGGUAUACUAGAGCCCAUAAAAGCUGGUAUCAGGGAUGCAAAACUAGGAGUGGGGAAGCAAGAGCAGGAUGACUUCUUCACAGCGAGUGCUAAUUUCUGUAUUUUCUUUUGAGAUUCUUUUGGGUUGAUGCUUCAGUUGUGAAAACUGGUAUCUGAUUGUCAACUGUGAAUCAGAUGAGUUAUUGUAUUAUGUAAACCUGGAGAUGUAUUAUGUGAUGUUAUAUGAUGA